rnacentral:ncRNA from 1 species
CGGGGAUUAUCAGCAGACUCCCCGUCUCGCAAGACGCCCGCCGCGUCCAAGCUCUGC